GAUGAACGCUGGCGGUAUGCUUAACACAUGCAAGUCGAACGGACUCUUCGGAGUUAGUGGCGGACGGGUGAGUAACGCGUGAGAAUCUGGCUUUGGGUUCGGGACAACCACUGGAAACGGUGGCUAAUACCGGAUGUGCCGAGAGGUAAAGGAGAAAUUGCCUGAAGAUGAGCUCGCGUCUGAUUAGCUAGUUGGUGAGGUAAAGGCUCACCAAGGCAGCGAUCAGUAGCUGGUCUGAGAGGAUGACCAGCCACACUGGGACUGAGACACGGCCCAGACUCCUACGGGAGGCGGCAGUGGGGAAUUUUCCGCAAUGGGCGAAAGCCUGACGGAGCAAUACCGCGUGAGGGAAGAAGGCUCUUGGGUUGUAAACCUCUUUUCUUAGGGAAGAACAAAAUGACGGUACCUAAGGAAUCAGCAUCGGCUAACUCCGUG
rnacentral:rRNA from 1 species